rnacentral:lncRNA from 1 species
AGGAGAUUGGUCUGUAAUUUUCAACUAGGCUGGGGUUUAGCAUUUUUAUAACUCAUUUGUUACAACUAUGGUUGAAUGUUGCUUCAGUGGGCAAGGGCGUACUAAAUUUUAUCUGUAGACACUGAUGCUAUAGGAUGGAAGAGAUAAGAAAAAGUAAUGUGAGUUUUGGUAGCAAAAGGUGGGAUAAGCAAAAGUUUCAAGUAUGGAAGAAGAGCCUGCUUAUAAGUGCUGCAGUAUUGCAAAGGGUGGCAUCCAAUUUUGCUCAGGUUUCAAAUCACUACAGAACAAAAAAAAAAUUUUUUUCCAGUUCCCUGGAUCAACUAGCUGUACGAAAUCAGAAAAACCUACAGCUGCUUCUGAACUGUUGCAAAUCUUUGUGUGGAUGUUCCCACUGUGAAACUAUGUUAUGGGACUGGUGAGAAACCAACUUCUGUGUGCAAGCAGUGAAUUUUGUUGCUAUAUUUCAGAUAAAAACAACUAUUCCUGGGCCCAACUAUCUAUAUAUCAUAACUUCCAAAGUUACUGGUUUUUGCAUUUUAGCUUUUUUUUUUUUUUACAGAAAUUAUGGCAAGAAAAUGAAGACUUGAAGGCAACCAUCCGUGAAAUACACAGUUCAUCUGCUGGACUCCCAUCCCAGUCACCACCUAAUUCUGGGCUCUUGUUUGAAAAUCCAUAUUCUGCAUCACCAAAAAUUGUUCAGACGAAUCCGGCUUACUUUGGAACUUUAGAGCUAUGUGCCUAGGCCCUUGGCAGACAUUCAACAAAUGUGAAUUCUCAUCCUCUGAGACAAGAAUGUAUCCCAGGUGCCUCUCAAUAUGAGAUAGUGCUUUCUUCAAAUUCUAUAUACAGAAGAAAUUCAUCGGACAUAAAUCCAGCUGUUUUAACAAUAUGCAGCAACUUCCUACACAUCUAAUAUAUUUCUGUCUGGUGCUCUGUGACUUUUAGAACUGGAAUAGUGUGGACU